AAGUAACAGAUAAUAUGUAAGGAUGUAUAUUCAUACACACACAUAUAUGUUUGUGCACACGCAUGUGAAUUGAGUAUUAUGAAUAAUAUAUAAUAGCUUCUAAUUACUGAGUACUUAAUAUAUGCUAAGUAUGUAAAGAGAAUAUUAUAUUAAAUGUCAUUUAUUUUUUGUUGACUUUGAGGGAGGAGCAGGUGUAGGCAGAUAUGGAAGCUGGAGGUGGAGCUAUCUAGACAUAGGCAUUUGAAAUCUUCCUCCUUUCUCUAGUACUGUGGGUGGCUGUUCUAGGAACUGAAGGUGACAUUGACAUCUAGUGUUUCCUAUUGGCAGAUGGAAGUAAAAGGAAGUGCACUGGCUGGGUCACUUCUAGUGCUGUGUCAUACUUCCCCUGCUCUCAGGAAUCUACAGUUUCAUCAGAGACUUAGCUGUGCCUACCCUCAAGUGGAAACGAGAUAAUGUGAGGACUUUGCCAACAACCUGGAAACAUUCUGCAGGGCUUUGCAGCAGGGGAGAUGCUGAAGGAGGGGCAAACACAAAUUUGCAGAGCAUCUUUUCAUUGAACUUUGCUCCUUCCUUGCCUGUGACACCUUCUGAAGCCUUUUCCAGUUCUGGCCUAAGGAAUCCAAGGGACAGGUGGGUCCCAGCCUCUCUCCUGCCUGAGGAAGUGGGAUUUAGGUA
rnacentral:lncRNA from 12 species